rnacentral:rRNA from 1 species
CCUACGGGAGGCAGCAGUGAGGAAUAUUGGUCAAUGGGCGCAAGCCUGAACCAGCCAAGUCGCGUGAGGGAUGACGGUCCUAUGGAUUGUAAACCUCUUUUGUCGGGGAGCAAGGCCCGCCACGUGUGGCGGGAAGGAGAGUACCCGAAGAAAAAGCAUCGGCCAACUCCGUGCCAGCAGCCGCGGUAAUACGGAGGAGGCGAGCGUUAUCCGAAUUUAUUGGGUUUAAGGGGUUCGUAGGCGGAAGGUUAAGUCCGCGGUAAAAUGUCGGGGCUCAACACCGGCCUGCCGUUGAAACUGGUGAUCUUGAGUGAGCGAGAAGUAUGCGGAAUGCGUGGUGUAGCGGUGAAAUGCGUAGAUAUAACGCAGAACUCCGAUUGCGAAGGCAGCAUACCGGCGCUCAACUGACGCUGAGGCACGAAAGCGUGGGGAUCGAACAGGAUUAGAUACCCCUGUAGUC